rnacentral:rRNA from 1 species
GACGAACGCUGGCGGCGUGCCUAACACAUGCAAGUUGAGCGACGAACCAGGGCUUGCCCUGGGGCAAAGCAGCGAAGGGGUGAGUAACACGGGGGUAACCUACCCCGAUAACCGGGACAACCCGAGGAAACGCGGGCUAAUAGCGGAUGUGCUCACUGGACUUCGGGUCAGUGCGGAAAGUAAUCGUCGGCCUCCCUAUCGGGUGGGGCCCGCGGCCCAUUAGUUUGUUGGUGAGGUAAAGGCUCACCAAGACCGCGAUGGGUAGCUGGUCUGAGAGGACGAUCAGCCACACUGGGACUGAGACACGGCCCAGACUCCUACGGGAGGCAGCAGUGGGGAAUAUUGCGCAAUGCGCGCAAGCGUGACGCAGCAACGCCGCGUGGGGGAAGAAGGCCUUCGGGUUGUAAACCCCUUUUAGGAGGGACGAAGGUUAGGCGGUGAAUAGCCGGCCGGACUGACGGUACCUCCACAAGAAGCCCCGGCUAACUACGUG